CCUACGGGUGGCAGCAGUGAGGAAUAUUGGUCAAUGGGCGCGAGCCUGAACCAGCCAAGUCGCGUGAGGGAAGACGGUCCUAUGGAUUGUAAACCUCUUUUGUCGGGGAGCAAAAGACGCCACGCGUGGCCUUCCGCGAGUACCCGAAGAAAAAGCAUCGGCUAACUCCGUGCCAGCAGCCGCGGUAAUACGGAGGAUGCGAGCGUUAUCCGGAUUUAUUGGGUUUAAAGGGUGCGCAGGCGGAAGAUCAAGUCAGCGGUAAAAUUGAGAGGCUCAACCUCUUCGAGCGGUUGAAACUGGUUGUCUUGAGUGAGUGAGAAGUAUGCGGAAUGCGUGGUGUAGGGGUGAAAUGCAUAGAUAUCACGCAGAACUCCGAUUGCGAAGGCAGCAUACCGGCGCUCAACUGACGCUCAUGCACGAAAGUGUGGGUAUCGAACAGGAUUAGAUACCCUAGUAGUC
rnacentral:rRNA from 1 species